rnacentral:lncRNA from 1 species
AAUGGCGAAGUGAGUUCAAUUCCGGCACAAACGGAGACAACUACGGUUAACAGGAAACCAGGAUUUUUAUUGAGAGAGAGAGUGUUUAACAAAAGUGCUCCCGAUAAUGGAGGACAAAUACCUGGAUUUUACAAUCUUGGUUCUGAUUCCUUUCUCCGUAACUGUUAUGGAUGCGCAGUCGAUGACACUAACCACAGUCUUUAGUUCGUAUAUUUUAAGCUACAAUGGCACAGUCUUUAGUCCGUAUUCGCACACUGUCGAGGUAAUCGGGCUGAAAAGUCUUUCCUAUUAUCAAACGCUUAUUUUCUCCUUUUCUUGAUCUGAAGUCGGGGAUCCGAAAUAAGGUCUUGAUAUGACUUCGCUGCGGAUAGAUGUUCAAUGUUGUAUAGUCGGCCUCUGAGGGGUUGAGCUCUGGGCCGCGGGGUCUGUUCUUGAAGACGGGAG